rnacentral:rRNA from 1 species
ACAGCAGUCGCCGCGGUAAUACGUAGGUGGCAAGCGUUGUCCGGAAUUAUUGGGCGUAAAGGGCUCGCAGGCGGUUUCUUAAGUCUGAUGCGAAAGCCCCCGGCUCAACCGGGGAGGGUCAUUGGAAACUGGGAAACUUGUGUGCAGAAGAGGAGAGUGGAAUUCCACGUGUAGCGGUGAAAUGCGUAGAGAUGUGGAGGAACACCAGUGGCGAAGGCGACUCUCUGGUCUGUAACUGACGCUGAGGAGCGAAAGCGUGGGGAGCGAACAGGAUUAGAGACCCCGGUAGUCCCUGUCUCUUAUAC